rnacentral:rRNA from 1 species
AGAGCGAACGCUGGCGGCAGGCCUAACACAUGCAAGUCGAGCGCUCCGCAAGGGGAGCGGCAGACGGGAGAGUAACACGUGGGAACGUACCCUUCAGUUCGGAACAACCCAGGGAAACUUGUGCUAAUACCGGAUAAGCCCUUACGGGGAAAGAUUUAUCGCCGAAAGAUUGGCCCGCGUCUGAUUAGCUAGUUGGUGAGGUAACGGCUCACCAAGGCGACGAUCAGUAGCUGGUCUGAGAGGAUGAUCAGCCACAUUGGGACUGAGACACGGCCCAAACUCCUACGGGAGGCAGCAGUGGGGAAUAUUGGACAAUGGGCGCAAGCCUGAUCCAGCCAUGCCGCGUGAGUGAUGAAGGCCCUAGGGUUGUAAAGCUCUUUGUGCGGGAAGAUAAUGACGGUACCGCAAGAUAAGCCCGGCUAACUUCGUGCCAGCAGCCGC